UACGUAGGGACCAAGCGUUGUUCGGAUUUACUGGGCGUAAAGGGCGCGUAGGCGGCGCGGUAAGUCACUUGUGAAAUCUCUGAGCUUAACUCAGAACGGCCAAGUGAUACUGCAGUGCUAGAGUGUGGAAGGGGCGAUCGGAAUUCUUGGUGUAGCGGUGAAAUGCGUAGAUAUCAAGAGGAACACCUGAGGUGAAGACGGGUUGCUGGGCCAACACUGACGCUGAGGCGCGAAAGCCAGGGGAGCAAACGGG
rnacentral:rRNA from 1 species